CAGCAGCCGCGGUAAUACGUAGGUGGCAAGCGUUGUCCGGAUUUAUUGGGCGUAAAGCGAGCGCAGGCGGUCAAUUAAGUCUGAUGUGAAAGCCCCCGGCUCAACCGGGGAGGGUCAUUGGAAACUGGUUGACUUGAGUGCAGAAGAGGAGAGUGGAAUUCCAUGUGUAGCGGUGAAAUGCGUAGAUAUAUGGAGGAACACCAGUGGCGAAGGCGACUCUCUGGUCUGUAACUGACGCUGAGGCUCGAAAGCGUGGGUAGCAAACAGGAUUAGAUACCCCGGUAGUCCCUGUCUCUUAUAC
rnacentral:rRNA from 1 species